rnacentral:misc_RNA from 1 species
GAUGAAGAACGUAGCGAAAUGCGAUAAGUAAUGUGAAUUGCAGAAUUCAGUGAAUCAUCGAAUCUUUGAACGCACCUUGCGCUCCUUGGUAUUCCGAGGAGCAUGCCUGUUUGAGUGUCAUGAAAUUCUCAACCUUUUCAGCUUUCUUUGUUGAUCAGGCUUGGAUGUGGGAGUAUGCGGGCUUCUCAGAAGUCGGCUCUCCUGAAAUGCAUUAGCGGGACCUUUGUUGCCUGGCUUUGGUGUGAUAAUUAUCUACGCCAUUGUGGUCAAGCAGCUUAAAAUGAGGUUUCAGCUUCUAACCGUCUCCCCUGAGACAACUUUUUGACAAUUUGACCUCAAAUCAGGUAGGACUACCCGCUGAACUUAAGCAUAUCAAUAAGCGGAGGA